rnacentral:ncRNA from 1 species
CCAUUGAGUUUCCACUAGGUGGUUAACAGUGCCGCCUGAGAAGGCGGGCGCUAGUCGGCCUAGUAAGCCGGCAAGAUCGUCAAAGUGCGGGGACACGUUGCUACUCCUUCGGUAGGGCUCCUGGGUCGAAAGGCUCCAGCGGGCACCCGGGCUAACUCCCCGUGGGUAUCCUAACAACCUGAAGGCUAGACGCAAUCCGCAGCCAAGUCCUAAGUCGGGCGAGCAGCCCGGUAUGGAUGCAGUUCACAGACCAGAUGUCGAUCGGGGAGAUUCCCUUAAGAUAUGGUCGGGCCCCACCGAGAGGUGGCC